CAGUUUUGGCGGAGCCAUCCUUGGGAUACCACCCUUGUAGUACUGGGACUCUAACCAUAGGCCAUGAAUCUGGUCUUGGGACACUGUCAGGUGGGCAGUUUGACUGGGGCGGUCGCCUCCCAAAAGGUAACGGAGGCGCUCAAAGGUUCUCUCAGUACGGUCGGAAAUCGUACGUAGAGUGUAAAGGCAAAAGAGAGCUUGAUUGCAAGACAUACAGGUCGAGCAAGGAUGAAAAUCGGACUUAGUGAUCCGGUGGUUCUGCGUGGAAGGGCCAUCGCUCAACGGAUAAAAGCUACCCUGGGGAUAACAGGCUUAUCUCCCCCAAGAGUCCACAUCGACGGGGAGGUUUGGCACCUCGAUGUCGGCUCAUCACAUCCUGGGGCUGUAGUAGGUCCCAAGGGUUGGGCUGUUCGCCCAUUAAAGUGGUACGCGAGCUGGGUUCAGAACGUCGUGAGACAGUUCGGUCCCUAUCCGUCGCAGGCGUAGGAAAUUUGAGAAGACCUGUCCUUAGUACGAGAGGACCGGGAUGGACGUACCUCUGGUGUACCAGUUGUCCUGCCAAGGGCAUGGCUGGGUAGCUAUGUACGGAAUGGAUAAGCGCUGAAAGCAUCUAAGCGCGAAGCCAACUUCAAGAUAAGAUUUCCCACCGCAAGGGUAAGACCCCAGAAAGACUAUCUGGUUGAUAGGUCGAAGGUGUAAGUGCAGCAAUGUAUUUAGCUUAUCGAUACUAAUAGGUCGAGGACUUGACCAA
rnacentral:rRNA from 1 species